AAGUUGUGUAUAAGAAUAAAAAAGAUUAAAAAUUAUGUAUGUACAUAAGCAACGCAGCUGUAUACGACAACGUCGACGAGGACUACUAUGUUGUUCAGUGUUCUUCUUCAUCAUCAUCAUGAUUGAGGCAGGCGCGCCUGUUCCAGCGAUGACUGACGACUACAUACAGCAUGUAGUUAGAUAUACGAAAGGGGGCAUCUCAUUAAGUAAUAAUAAUACUAAUGACGUAGCCAUCAUUCGUAUCCAUUAGGGUGAGGGGAGUCCGUUUACCGUCGAGUGUCGUCGUCGUCAUAUCUUCAAUAUGAUGAUAGAAUUCCUCAGUUGUUGUGUACAGCAAAUAUCGGGGAGUGUCGGAGUUAAGUUGGAGUGCUGUGAUUGUGACUCCUCACGUUCUAGUUUAAUUUCCUUUCGAUAUCCUUUAGUUUCAUUCGUGAUACCCUUUUUUCUGACUCGAUUUAUUUGUGUUCCUCGGUUUUAUUUAUAUUCAAUAUUAAUAGAAGCAACAAUCAGUUAGUUCCACGGACACUAUUGAUCGUACCCAAAAAAUAGUUUUACUACAUACAUACAAUUAUUAGUGUUGUUUGAAAUUGGAUAUUUGUUUUAAAAUAUUAUUAAUACAUUCAUUACGCAUUAUAUUAUAUUUUGUUUUUGUAAUACAUAAUUAUGAUUUUCGAGUAAUCAAAUGUGAUAUCCCCCCCCCCCUUUCUUAUAAUCAAUCCUGGAGGAGACAGAAAGAAAAAGAAAAUUAACAAGACGACGAAUAGUUCAUAGGAAGAAAAAUACUUAUCUACACUCUGCUGUGCUGUUUCUCCAACACACUCCUGUUAAUUCCUACCUACGGCCAAAGCGACAUUUCAUAUUCAAAUACAUAUAUGGACAUACUUAUUUCCACUAUAUACACAUAAUUAAUUACUAAGGAUGUCUGCCCACUUGUUCAACGAGAGUGGGCAAAUGCAAGAGGUAGAAAUACCUGACAUAUUCGAUGUCCUCGAAGGAGGGGAAGACGAAAAUGCUGUCAAGUUUCUCCUGGGAUUUUCAGGAGAAGAGGAAGGAACUGGAAGCACGCCUGGAUCCAAUGUGAUUGUGACUCAAAAUAAUGUCGUUCUUCAUCCAGCUCCUGCCAAUCCCUCGGGAGGAGUCCUUGUCUCCCUUGCACCCAGUGCAGCAAGUGCAGUCAUGAAAGGUAAUGAAGAGGAUGAGGACAUGGUUGAAGCUCUGGCAGGGGUCACAGGUGGUGGUAUUCGCAAAAGAGACACUUCUGGCCUACGAGCCAUCUACUCUUGUGACUCUUGUGGAAAAAGCUUUACUACGAAAUUCAAUCUAAAGCGACACAUAAACAUGCAUUGCCAUAAAUCCAAAGAGGCUGGUGUUCCCAUUCAAGGACCUCCUUCCGCAUCAGCUCCAUCACGAAAAAAGUCCACAGGGACUCAGGGUCGACCCCCUGGUAGUACAAAUCAUCACAACAACCUCAUUAAACCACUGAAUCAAAAUAACAAUGACUCUACGAGUAACAAAUCCGUGAUAGACAAACUAGUUCAUAAUUUAACACCGGUUGUGCAAGAAAACCCAUCUGUGGUGUCUCCUACUACAGUCCUCUCCCCUAUUGUUACACAAGAGGUGUCCCAGGCUCAGCUCACGAAUACGAACGUUAUUAAAGUUCCUGGGCCCUCGGCCAUUCAACUCCCUCAGCAACCCGUUCCCAUCACCAUCAUGAAUAACAAUCAUACCAAAAUGAAUGGAUCCAACAUCAGCAGUACUCCUUCGCAUAAUGGCUUAGACAAUAGUCAAUUAGUUAAUGUUAUAGCCAAUACGAAUCAUUUACUACGUAACACUUCCAUUCCAGCUAUUGUUUCAUCCAUCACUAUUAGUGGGGGUCCGAACAAUGCAGUGGUGACCACAAUCAUUCCAACUGGUUUCAAUACCAUCUCCACCACAUGCAUGGCAAACACUGCUACUACUACCACUACAUCCAUGACUCCUGGAGUCGUUUCAUCCUCUAUUCCUUCUACCUCUCUAAUCAUUGAUCCCUCUUCGGAGUUCAAUGCUUUACCCUCAGAAUUAUUCGAAGGCUCGGAUAAUAGUUUAUUAUCCCAUCAGUCCCCUCCCCCUUCACCUUCAUCCAGUCUGGACUCUGCUCCUCUGUCCCAUAAGAUUCACGGCGAUGAAGAAGAGGAGGAGGAGGAUGAAACUGGUGGAGAUAUGUUUGAGGACUCUGAGCUGGAUGAGGAAAUUGCUUCUUGGCAGCAACAGCAGCAGCAAAACCUUUCUUUAGAUCCUGCAUCUAGUCAGCAGCAAAACCUCUCAUUAGAUCCUAGUUCUAGUCAUCAACAAAACCACUACCAUACCACCACUACGACCACGCUUUCACAGGUUGUUGCUCCUGAUCCAGUAAUUGAGCUUCUUCCACUCACAACCAUUCCAUCGGGGUGGAUUCGAAAAGUCAUAGACGUUACUCCAGAGCUUCAACAAAGUGCAAGAAAUGCACCCGGCGGAAAUGAGUGGAGAACCAUGAAAGUACUCUACUUUAAUGGAGCUGGAAUGAAAUUUGAGGGCUAUCAAGAGCUUGAAAAAUAUUUUGCCCGUUUGGGAUAUUCUCUCUCUCAUCCUGAAAUCUUCGAUUUUGAAACGGAAAUUAACUCUUUUGAUAAUUUUCGGUGUAACGGCGAUAUGGGCCCAAAAAGACAAUAUGAUAACUUGAAUAAUGGAGAUGAUGAUGAAAAAAUACACGAAACUGGUCGUAAAAGACGGAAAAUAGAUCCGCAACAACAGAUAAUAUGCCUCUAUGAAUUUAUACGACGCUUCAAAAAGGAAGAUGGCUCAGAGCUUUGUGAAAAUUUCAUACGGGUCCCCAAAAGAAGAACAGAUCCAGGCUACUAUGAUGUUGUGACUGUACCCAUGGAUCUCCUACGAAUUCAACAAAAGCUGAAGACAGAUGAAUACGAAACACUCGAUGAGUUUGUUUCGGAUUUUGAACUAGUCAUUAAAAACUCUUUGGCCUAUUAUAAAAAUGGAACUAGAGAGUAUAAAGAUGCAACUGACAUGGAAGAACUUUUUAAUAAAGCUCUAGAAAAAAUACUGGCAGGGGAAAAUCCAUCCGACUCAUUGGGAACAAGAGAAGAGCCGCACAAUGAGGCUGGAGUCCUUAUAGAAAUGUUGGAGGAUUUAUUAGCUGUUGUCAUGACCGCCAUUGAUCCAUUUGAUCCAAAUCGUCUUGUUCAUAUACCUUUUCGACUUUUACCUUCUCAAAAGAGAUAUCCAGAAUAUUUUAAAGUCAUUAAUGAUCCCAUCGAUUUAAAAAUGAUUGCAACCAAGAUACAAACCACAUCCUAUACAACGCUUAGUGAACUAGAAGAUGAUUUAAUUAAAAUGUGUCGUAAUGCUAUGACAUUUAAUGAACCAGGUUCUCAAAUUUAUCGAGAUGCAAAACAAGUUCUUAAACUGACUAAAAGUAAACGCUAUGAAUUAGAGGCCAAUAAGGUAGCACGAGAGAAUCGUGGAUCUCGUAGCACACGGAGAAUAACUUCCAAAAAGAGAUUUUCGGCUGAGAUUGCUGCUCUGAAUUAUGAGGAUAGUGAAGAGGAGGAGGACGGAGAAGAAGAGGAAGAUGAUGUCACUCAUCAAGACGAUCCUCUAUGGGAUUUGUAUAUUCAUAUUAGGGGUUUUACAACACCAUCUGGGGUUAACCUUGCCGAACCUUUCUUCACCCUUCCAUCCAAAAGGGAACUGCCAGACUACUAUCAAACCAUUAUGGAGCCUAUUUCUUUGAAUAUGAUUCGUAAGAAAAUGAAAGCUGGUGAAUACGCUCAAUUAGUCGACCUUGCUGAUGAUCUCAAUACCAUGUUUGAAAAUUGCAAGACCUAUAAUCGGCCAGACUCACGCCUCUUUAAGGAAGGACAAAAACUUCAAAAAAUAAUGCAUGCCAAAUUAGAAGAAUUAGAAGCUAGAGAGGACGAAGAGGACGAAGUUGAGGAGGAUGAAGAAGGAGAAUCAUCCCGUCUUGAUGAAAGUGGUAAUUCUUUGGAAGGUCGACCACGUAGUCAAAGAGCAAACACGCGGAAAAGAAUGAGGUCUCUUUAUAAUGCCGUUUUAAACUUUAAAACAGAGGAUGAGUUGUCCCUUGUUGGCAUGUUUAUGGAAAAACCAAGUAAAAAGGAUUAUCCAGAUUAUUAUGAAAUCAUUACAAAUCCAAUUGAUAUGAGUAUGAUUGAUGCUAAAAUUAAAACAGGUGUUUAUAAAUCUGAAGAGGAUGUAAUCCAGGAUAUGAAACUCAUGUUUAUUAACUGUAGAAGAUAUAAUGAAGAAGGAUCUGAUAUUUAUAAGGAUGCAAAUUUACUUGAAAAAGUUCUAGUCACAAAAGCUCGAGAAAUGGGCAUCAAUGCAGGUCCUGGUCGAGGAAGACCUCGAAAGAAAAAUUUAACACUUAGUCAAAAGUUAAAGAUUCUUUUCGAAACCCUUAGAGAUUAUAAAGAUCAUAAAGGACGGCAGCUCUCUCUUAUAUUUCUUCGCCUGCCGAAUCUAAGAGAGUUUGCCGACUAUUAUGAAACUAUUAAAAAGCCAAUCGAUUUUGAAAAGAUAUCUGGGAAAAUGAAACAAAAUGCUUAUGAGUCUGUUGAAGAAGCACUAAGAGACUUUAUUCUUAUGUUUGACAAUGCCUGUAAGUACAAUGAACCUGACUCUCAAAUAUACAAGGAUGCCAUAACUUUGCAGUCCCUUGCACUUAAAACAGUUCGGGGUAUGACAGAUGAAUCAUCUGCAUCAAUAUCCAAAAUUCCUAACAUUGGCUUAGCAGUGAGGGAUAUACUUAGAAGUAUUUUUUACAAUACCUAUGAACAUGCUGAUGAAGAUGAACGAAGGUAUUCAGAUUCUUUAGGUGAGCUUCCUAGUUAUGAUGAAGAAGGACCUGGAGCUAAGGUUUCGAGGCCUCCGAUGAGCUUAGAAUUAAUUAAAAGAAGAGUAGAUAAAGGUUUUUAUAAGAGACUAGAUGUUCUCCAGAAAGAUGUAUUUUCAGCUUUUGACAGAGCAAGGAGUCUCACAAGAACGGAUUCACAAAUUUUUGAGGACUCUGUUGAGCUUCACAAGUUUUUUAUUAAAUCUAGAGAUGAAGUUUGCCAAAACGGUGACAUUCUUCAGUCACGUGCACUUUUAUAUACUGAGGCUGACUUUUUAAAAGCACUGGAAAAAUUGAAAAAAGAAAAGUCUGCAACUGAAGAGCCUUCACCACCUGAUUAUAUAUCUCCAGAUGAUGAGGACGAUGGGACUCGUGUCUCUUUUAAUAAUCAAGAAUAUAGAGCAGGAGACUUUGUUUAUAUAGAAGAAGGUAUUUACUUAAUAGAAUCAAUUCAAGGGGAGACCUUUACUGGAAAUCGUUUUUAUCGACCCUCCGAGACUUAUCAUGUUCCUACUAGAAAAUUUAUUGAGCAUGAAGUCUUUCAAAGUGAUUUGAGAAAAACGAUAUCCUUUACGGAAAUUGUAGGGAAAUGUUGGAUCAUGCCUAUAAAGGACUUUCUACGUUAUAAGCCACAAGGUUUUGAUGAAUCUGACGUUUACGUCUGUGAAUCUCGAUAUAAUACACGACUUCGAUCCUUUAAGAAAAUUUACAAAAAUUAUUGGAUGAUCCCUGACAAUCUUAUGUUGGGAAUGCGGCAGGAGCCUCUUCAAUUGAAGAGAGUCUCUGAAGCUGAACACCCCCCUCUUCCUGAAGAGAUUCCUUUGAACCCUCCCCCUCCGAAUGUUGUAUGGAACUUUCCGCCUGGUACAGCUCUACCUCAAAACCCAAUUUCUGAUGGAGGGUUGACCUACUUUGAACAGUACACGAUACCUGGACCCAUUACGCUCAAAAGAGGUGACAGCGUUUAUGUCAGAGCUGAAAACGGUAAAAACCUCAUAGUACAAAUCGAUUCCAUGUGGACCAAUGCCGAGGGAAUGGCCUAUUUCUAUGGGGCUUGGUACGUGACACCAAGUGAAGUACCUCAUAACCCGACACAAAUGUUCUAUAAGAGAGAAGUCUUUCUAUCAACAAUUUCGGAUAUUAAUCCCCUACUCUCAGUCGUUGGUAAAUGCUGUGUUAUGGAUGCGAGCGAUUAUAUCAUUGGGCGUCCAACAUCCUAUGUAGAAACCGAUGUCUAUGUUUGUGAGUCCGUAUUCGAUGAAACCAAAAGGGUUAUUAGGAGUUCUCUUCCAAAUGGAGGUGGCCUUAAACGCUAUGAAUAUUCCUCUUUAGUCACUAACGAUGAAUUAUUUUAUUUCAAAAAACCUAUUUUGCUGCAAAAGGAAGCAUCUCCCUUACUUCCGAAGGUUAAUUGUGAACCAAGUGUAGACACUGAGGAUUCACUUGACUAUAGAUCCUUGGAUUCUCCUGAUAACGAUGGGUCGCCCUACGGUCGAAGAUCUAGUAAAUUAACGCCAAAGAAAAUCGUUACUGCCUACACUCUUUUUUCGAGUGAGGUUCGGAAACAGAUCACUGAACAAAAUAAAGACUGUUCCUUCGGUCAAAUUAGUCGAAUGGUUGGGGACAAGUGGAGAAGGCUUUCAGACACGGAGAAACAGUUUUACGAGUAUAGAGCCAAAAAAAUCAAUGAUGAAAGUGCAGCAAAAACACUGAGGGAUGGAAGUGAUGAUAGAUCCGUACAUUCCUUGGACAGAGCUGACAUCCUUCAUCUGAGUCCUUCAACAAUGUAAGCCCUACGUCAACAGCCACGAAGGUCGCUUUAAAGUCCUCUGUUCCACAAAUGAAUGGAAAUUCCCUUCCUCCCUCCACCGUCAUUGCGGCAUGUGCAGUCACAAAUACUGUCGUCAAAACAACGGAGCCCAUUUUCCACAGCGUUCCACCUCGACCGCAGAAACUUCUUCAUUCAGAAGCAUAUAUUAAGUACAUUGAAGGACUCACAACAGAUAGUUCCACGAUUUCCAACUGGGAUAAACAACUCUGCGCCUCCAAGGAUAACACGAAAACAGAUGAAGCCAAGCUACCUGCUCAUUGGCUCUC
rnacentral:misc_RNA from 1 species